CAAGUUAUAAUUAGAUUAACUUUUAUUUACAUUAAAGGUUUUAUUUGUGCAAUUCAAAUUAACUUGA
rnacentral:tRNA from 1 species